GGGCUGAAGGCCGCCACCAAGAGACAGAAAUAUGAAAGGAUUAGCGAGAAGAAAAUGUCCACCCCCAUCGAAGUGCUGUGUAAAGGCUACCCUUCUGAAUUUGCCACAUACCUGAAUUUCUGCCGUUCCUUGCGUUUUGACGACAAGCCUGACUACUCGUACCUGAGGCAGCUUUUCCGGAAUCUGUUCCAUCGCCAGGGCUUCUCUUAUGACUACGUGUUCGACUGGAACAUGCUCAAAUUUGGUGCCAGCCGGGCCGCUGACGAUGCUGAGCGGGAGCGCAGGGACCGAGAGGAGCGGCUGAGACACUCGCGGAACCCGGCUACCCGCGGCCUCCCUUCCACAGCCUCCGGCCGCCUGCGGGGGACGCAGGAAGUGGCUCCCCCCACACCCCUCACCCCUACCUCACACACGGGUGAGUGCCCCCCUCCUAGCGCUCUGGGGCUGGCUCUGGGGUGACUUCCUGUGUCUCGGGGUUGGUGGGGACAACAGGGCGCUUGGUGGUGGAUGCUGUAAGUGCCCUGUGUCAGGCAAUGCUCCUGAGAAUGGAUGAGCCAGGCUGCUCAGGCGCCUUUAGAAAUGCGGGCACCUGCUGGUGUGCGUGA
rnacentral:sRNA from 1 species